GGCAGUAUAGGAUAGUGUUCAUACCCAUGGGCUCUGAGCCCGAUUCCUUGGGUUCAAAUCCCAGUUCUGCCU
rnacentral:tRNA from 1 species